ensembl:lncRNA
GUCAGACGUGGGUCUCUAUGGGUCCCUAUUGGUGGGAUGUGGGUCACUAUGGGUCUCUAUGUGUCACUAUGGGGCAGGGAGCCGUAGUUGUGGGUCCGUAUGGGUCGGAUGUGGGUCUCUAUGGGUCAGACGUGGGUCUCUAUGGGUCUCUAUGGGUCCCCAUUGGUGGGAUGUGGGUCACUAUGGGUCUCUAUGGGUCGCUAUGGGGCAGGGAGCCGUAGUUGUGGGUCCUUAUGGGUUGGAUGUGGGUCGCUAUGGGUCUCUGUGGGUCUCUAUGGGUCCCUAUGGGUGGGAUGUGGGUCGCUAUGGGUUGUUAUGGGUCACUAUGGGUCUCUAUGGGUCUCUAUGGGUGGGAUGUGGGUCACUAUGGGUCUCUAUGGGUUGUUAUGGGUCACUAUGGGUCUCUGUGGGUCCCUAUGGGUGGGAUGUGGGUCGCUAUGGGUCUCUAUGGGUCCGACGUGGGUCUCUAUGGGUCCCUAUGGGUGGGACGUGGGUCACUAUGGGUCUCUAUGGGUCUCUGUGGGUCUCUAUGGGUCCCUAUGGGUGGGAUGUGGGUCGCUAUGGGUCUCUAUGGGUUGUUAUGGGUCGCUAUGGGUCUCUAUGGGUUGUUAUGGGUCACUAUGGGUCUCUAUGGGUCCCUACGGGUGGGCUGUGGGUCGCUAUGGGUCGCCGUGGGGCAGGGAGCCGUGGUUCGAGGAGAACCGUGGGGCAGCCCUGGGCGGUGUGGGGCUGGCCGCCAGCUCGGGGCCCGGCGCCAUGAUGCAGCUGAAGGUGACGGCGCUGAUGAAGGCUGAGCUCUGCGAGUUGGUGUCGCGGCGCCUGGAGGAGCCCCAGCCCGAAUUCAGCGUCCACGGCGUCAUGGCUGUCAUGGGGGGGCAGGUGGGACCCACAGCGCCCCACAGCUCGCCCCAUAGAUCCCACAGCUCACCCCAUAGAUCCCACAGCUCACCCCAUAGAUCCCACAGCGCCCCAUAGCUCACCCCAUAGAUCCCAUAGCUCGCCCCAUAGAUCCCACAGCGCCCCAUAGCUCACCCCAUAGAUCGCACAGCUCACCCCAUAGAUCCCACAGCGCCCCAUAGAUCCCAUAGCUCGCCCCAUAGAUCCCACAGCGCCCCACAGCUCGCCCCAUAGAUCCCACAGCGCCCCAUAGAUCCCACAGCUCACCCCAUAGAUCCCACAGUGCCCCAUAAAUUCCACAGCUCACCCCAUAGAUCCCAUAGAUCCCCACAGCUCACCCCAUAGAUCCCAUGGAACCCCACAACUCACCCCAUAGAUCCCACAGCUCACCCCAUAGAUCCCACAGCGCCCCACAGCGCCCCAUAGCUCACCCCAUAGAUCCCACAGCGCCCCAUAGUUCACCCCACAGAUCCCAAAACUCACCCCAUAGAUACCACAGCACCCCAUAGAUUCCACAGCUCACCCCAUAGAUCCCAUAGAUCCCCACAGCUCACCCCAUAGAUCCCAUGGAACCCCACAGCUCACCCCAUAGAUCCCACAGCUCACCCCAUAGAUCCCGCAGCGCGCCACAGCGCCCCAUAGCUCACCCUAUAGAUCCCGCAGCGCCCCACAGCUCACCCCAUAGAUCCCACAGCGCCCCACAGCUCGCCCCAUAGAUCCCACAGCUCACCCCAUAGCGGCCCACAGAACCCCACAGCUCACCCCAUAGAUCCUACAGCUCACCCCAUAGAUCCCACAGCGCCCCAUAGAUCCCACAGUGCCCCAUAGAUCCCACAGAACCCCACAACUCACCCCAUAGCGCCCCACAGAUCCCACAGAACCCCACAGCUCGCCCCAUAGAUCCCACAGCUCACCCCAUAGAUCCCACAGCGCCCCACAGCGCCCCAUAGCUCACCCCAUAGAUCCCACAGCGCCCCAUAGCUCACCCCAUAGAUCCCACAGCUCACCCCAUAGAUCUCGCAGCGCCCCACAGCUCACCCCACAGAUCCCACAGCACCCCAUGGCUCACCCCAUAGAU